UUCGGGGAAGGGGCGUGGGCCUCCAGUCGCGGUCCGGGACUCCGCCCGUUGCUGAGCGACCCGUAAUUACUUCCGCGUCGUUCUGACCAAUCCUGCGGGGGCUCCUGCCAGCGAGCAUCCUGGGAAAUGUAGGCCAGGCCCCGCAGGAGAGGGCUGCGGAGCCCACGGGGGAUGCCCAGGCUGGUCCGCUGGGCUCUGACCUCUCGUCUCCUAGGACCUUAGGAAGACUGAGACCUCCCCGAGCCUCCCAUCCCCCGCCUGGCGGACACACUUUGUAGCCCACGUAACCAUGACGCUAUAAAACGUGGUUGGGUUUAAAAAAAAAAAAAAAUGCAAAUUCCCACCCCGGUUUGGAGAAGAUGCUCCCAGCCCCAGCGGGAUUCUGUGGAUGCGUAAAGGACCAACGUUUAUAGACCGCUUAAUUCUGGGCCAAGAAUUCAGAAACGUAUCUCUUUCCUGUACUCGGACCCGACCCCCCCUUCCCCCUCCCCGUGAGGAGGGCACAGAAGAAGAAGAGCCGGGAAAUCGGGAAAUAACUGGCAGUUGAGACAGCGUUACUAAUUCCACAGCUAUUUGUGACUCCUGAACGGAGGACACGAAACCACAUCUUGUGCUUCUUUCUAUCACUAGCACUUAGUAAAAUACCUAGACCUGCAAGUUUAUUGAUUGAAAUGAAUCAAUGUGAUUCCAUAGAUCUGGUCUUCUUAGGCCUGGGAAGAUUCCUGACUCAUCUGACAAACGUCUCAUGGAAGGUAAUCAAUUAAGGAAGGAAGAAUACUGAACGGGAUUCCAAGGGAAAACUGUCUCCUGGUCAAUGUGGCCUUACAUAGGAAGAACAGAAAGUCCCCAAUACCGGUCCUCAGAUGGAUGCCCACGGGUUUUUACUCCUCCACAAGAAAAUUAGAAAAAUAAGGGAGAAGAAUUACCCUCCAGGGAGGCGGCCAGGUUGCCCAUCAUCACUUGAAAAUUGUGGUGAUGAGUCCAUUCUGUUUAAAGUCUUCCACCACCUGCUUAGAGUGUCUUAUUUUGACAGCCAAAGUUUCCAAGAUGUCACUCUGAUCUAUAGCUGUUGCAAUCUUGCAAAUGAAUUCUUCCAAAGAUUCCAGGCCCUGAAGCCCAAGAUUCAGCCCAGAUCCUGCCAGACAUCCACAUGUAAAUGUACCAGGGGAAGGGGACAUAAAGAAAAGGAAAGAAACAAAGAAAAAAAGAUAAUGACUCCAAAGCAGUCAGCACAGGGCCUGGCACAAGGCAAGCUGUUAACCUAAAAUAUUGUAUCACAGGAUGUCAGCUAUUGUCAUUGUUGUGUUGGGUGCUUAGAAGUGGACUUUAAGAAUUUUGGAAUUCAACCAUGAAGCACAACUCUGAUUUCAGAUCUGACCUUAAACAUAUGCAUAAUUAUAUGAAGGUUUUUACCAGCAUUAUCACAUACGCCGUUGUGACAAACACGUAGAGGAAAUCUGAACUCGUCAACACAAUGAACUGUGUUUAUGUGCACUUGUGGGAUCCUCCAGCACAUGUGUGCUCAUCUACCUCCGUCCCCUUCUUGGACUUGAGGCUAUUAGUAAUACACAUGCACGGAAGCCUGCCCCUUGUCUCCGGUGUUCUCUGCCUCCAAUGCCCUUCCUGCCUUCAACCACAUGAUUGCUACUCUCCUUCUUCACUAGCCUUCCUGUGUGUGUUACAGACCUGUUUGACAUCUUUGGUUCUUUCCCAGAAUAAUCUCUUCAGGUGUAUAAAAUAAAAUACAUGGAAUCAUAAAGGCAAGUAUAUUGAAAUACAAUUAUGAAAAUAUUAAUAAAAAUAUAAUAAAAUAA